AUCCAGUUGACGAGUCCCAAAUAGAACGAAACGCGUGUCCUGGAU
rfam:Schistosoma mattheei strain Denwood, Zambia genome assembly, scaffold: SMTD_scaffold0000270